rnacentral:lncRNA from 1 species
AAUGAUGUAAAUGCAUUAAUUUCUUUUGAUAAAAAAGAAACCUCAGAUGAUGUAAAAAAUGCAAAAGAUUUAAUGAACAAAAAAAAAACUGCAUGAAGAUCAAAGUAAUCCUUUAUGGUAUAACCAUAAAAGACACUUUUUCAUUUUUACUUAUUCAGGUAAACCAGUUUUACAAGAUAUGGAAAUGAAGAAAAUUUAACAAGUUUUUAUGGAACAUUACUUGCUAUAAUAUCAAAAAUUGAAUCAUUUACUUUUUCGACAAUAAAUAAAGAUGAUAAAAACAAUAAAAAAACAAAUAAGGAAACUACGAAAAACUCAUUAAAAUAUAUUAUUGGGAUAUCAGUAUCAAAAUAUGUUAUUAAUUCUAUGGAUAUUAUAAUCCUUAUAAAUAUGAUAACAUCAAUGAAGUCUUUCAAAAAAUGUUGAAUCAUGGACACCUAUAUGUUUGCCUAUAUACAACCCAAAUUUAUUUCUAUAUGCCUAUAUUAAUUAUAUAAAAAAAAAGGUUUGUUGUGUUUAUAUAUGUUCAGGUGCAUCACCUAAUGAUUUUUUUU